rnacentral:lncRNA from 1 species
UGCAUGGAUGGUGGUGGAGUCUCGGAUUCUGGUGGUGGUGGUGGAGUCUCGGAUGAUGGUGGUGGUGGAGUCGAGGAUGAUGGUGGUGGUGUCUUAGGAGCUGGUGGAGUCUUGGCAUGAAUUGUACGGGAAGCUGUAGUGAUUGGUAUCAAGAAGCUUAGGUAACUUAUGGCUAGCACAAGUGAGACCACAACUAGAGAGGCCAUUUGAGGCCGAUUCACUUUGCUUGAUCUCAUUGUUGUGUGU